rnacentral:rRNA from 1 species
UACGUAGGGGGCAAGCGUUGUCCGGAAUCAUUGGGCGUAAAGAGCGUGUAGGCGGCUUGACAGGUCUGCUGUGAAAACUCGAGGCUCAACCUCGAGAUGUCGGCGGAAACCGUCUGGCUAGAGUCCGGAAGAGGAGAGUGGAAUUCCUGGUGUAGCGGUGAAAUGCGCAGAUAUCAGGAAGAACACCUAUGGCGAAGGCAGCUCUCUGGGACGGUACUGACGCUGAGACGCGAAAGCGUGGGGAGCGAACAGG